GUGCUCACUUCGGCAGCACCUAUACUAAAAUAGGAACGAUAUGAAGAAGAUUAGCAUGGCCCCUGCGCAAGGAUGACAUGCAAAUCUGUGAAGCAUUCCAUAUAUAU